UAGCGAUACUCUGGAAAGUGUCACGCACCGGUAACGGUGGUGGCCGCCGAAGGUGUAACCCGUGUCUCCGUCUCGUGGCGGACCUACGGGGAAGCUCUCAGGUUUCCGUGACAGAGGGGGCACC
rnacentral:ncRNA from 2 species